rnacentral:sRNA from 1 species
AUGGUUGGCUGUGACUAUGAGAUCGAUUCCAGUGCCACCGAGGAUCGCUGCGGUGUGUGCCUGGGAGAUGGCUCUUCCUGCCAGACUGUGAGAAAGAUGUUUAAGCAGAAGGAAGGAUCUGGUUAUGUUGACAUUGGGCUCAUUCCAAAAGGAGCAAGGGACAUAAGAGUGAUGGAAAUUGAGGGAGCCGGAAACUUCCUGGCCAUCAGGAGUGAAGAUCCUGAAAAAUAUUACCUGAAUGGAGGGUUUAUUAUCCAGUGGAACGGGAACUAUAAGCUGGCAGGGACUGUCUUUCAGUAUGACAGGAAAGGAGACCUGGAAAAGCUGAUGGCCACAGGUCCCACCAAUGAGUCUGUGUGGAUCCAGCUUCUAUUCCAGGUGACUAACCCUGGCAUCAAGUAUGAGUACACAAUCCAGAAAGAUGGCCUUGACAAUGAUGUUGAGCAGCAGAUGUACUUCUGGCAGUAUGGCCACUGGACAGAGUGCAGUGUGACCUGCGGGACAGAUCAGAGAUCCAUGUGAAAAACUGGCAAGACAAUAGUCUAAACUGAGCUCACUGGUAUGAGAGCCAGCCUGUUUUCCAGUUUAGUGCUCAGAGGUAAAGGGCACUCUCAGAGAACACCAGUGACAGCUUUGUCUCCAAGCCAGUAUCUGUUCUUCUCUCCCCUCAGCGGCAUUUGCUUUUACUUCUGCCUUACCAUGGGGAGUGACGCUCUGACUUUAGGGGAAUUUAGGACUGACUACUCCUCAGGAAACUUGGAAAAGAAUUACCAUGCAUUGCGGAAGG